rnacentral:rRNA from 1 species
GAGUUUGAUCCUGGCUCAGAUUGAACGCUGGCGGCAUGCCUUACACAUGCAAGUCGAACGGCAGCACGGGAGCAAUCCUGGUGGCGAGUGGCGAACGGGUGAGUAAUGUAUCGGAACGUACCUUUCAGUGGGGGAUAACGUAGCGAAAGUUACGCUAAUACCGCAUAUUCUCUGAGGAGGAAAGCAGGGGACCUUAGGGCCUUGCGCUGUUAGAGCGGCCGAUAUCAGAUUAGCUAGUUGGUGGGGUAAAAGCUCACCAAGGCGACGAUCUGUAGCGGGUCUGAGAGGAUGAUCCGCCACMCUGGAACUGAGACACGGUCCAGACUCCUACGGGAGGCAGCAGUGGGGAAUUUUGGACAAUGGGCGCAAGCCUGAUCCAGCCAUGCCGCGUGAGUGAAGAAGGCCUUCGGGUUGUAAAGCUCUUUCGGCCGGGAAGAAAUCGCAUUGGUUAAUMCCUGGUGUGGAUGACGGUACCGGAAUAAGAAGCACCGGCUAACUACGUGCCAGCAGCCGCGGUAAUAC